UACGGAGGAUCCGAGCGUUAUCCGGAUUUAUUGGGUUUAAAGGGUGCGUAGGCUGGGGAUUAAGUCAGUGGUGAAAGUUUGCGGCUCAACCGUAAAAUUGCCGUUGAUACUGGUUCUCUUGAGUACAUUUGAGGCAGGCGGAAUGUGGUGUGUAGCGGUGAAAUGCAUAGAUAUGCCACAGAACACCGAUUGCGAAGGCAGCUUGCUAAGAUGUCACUGACGCUGAAGCACGAAAGCAUGGGGAUCAAACAGGAUUAGAUACC
rnacentral:rRNA from 1 species